rnacentral:rRNA from 1 species
UACGGAGGGUGCAAACGUUGCUCGGAAUCAUUGGGCGUAAAGCGCACGUAGGCGGUCCAGCAAGUCGGGUGUGAAAGCCCUCGGCUUAACCGGGAAGUGCAUUCGAAACUACUGGACUUGAGUACUGAAGAGGAUCGCGGAAUUCCCGGUGUAGAGGUGAAAUUCGUAGAUAUCGGAGGAACACCAGUGCGAGCGGCGAUCUGGCAGAUACUGACGCUGAGUGCGAAGCAGGAGCAACGGAUUAGAGUACCAGAGUCCACGAGCAGUCCAUGCAUAC